UUUCAAAUAACUCAAUCACAUUUAUUAUUAUUGAUUUGUGGAGAAGAGCUUGGAUUAGCUUCAUGAUCCUGAGGUUCACAGAUUCAUUAGUUUCACAGAAUCACCUUUGACUUGGUCUUUUGUCAGAAAGAAAUGAUCUUUGUUGUGGUUAUAUAUACAGUAAGUUACUUUCCCUGGUCUCAGUUGAGUUUGGGUUGUGGUAAAGAUGCAGUGCACUAGAGCACUUUGUAAUUUUGUUAAGAGCUCAAUAUGAAUAAAUGAUCCUAUUCACCCUUUGUCUCAAAAUAACAAUAGAGAUUUUUAUUCAUGAGAUUCUUCUUCAGGUCUGACCUUAUACAGAAAGAAGAAGAACUUAAAUCGGAGAUUAAAAAGUAUUGUUCACAGCAGACGAGGUAUAAUUUUUGUCUAUAUCUGUUUUAGCUUUGGAUGAAGAACAUGUUUUACGAUUUAACAGGUUUUAACGCAUUAGAAUAAUCUGAAUUAGUAACUAAAAGGCAUUGCAGUGAAUAUUACUAAUCUGCAGGUCCAUGUUAAUAAGAAAUAAUGGUUGAAUAGAAGAUGAACUCUAUUUUCCACACAGCCUCAGUGCUAAAAAUAUCUCUCUGGAAGCAGAUCUUUAUGAUAUGAGGUAAAAAUUUACCUUAUUCAUCACUUUGAUGAAGCACAAAUUUUUCUUUUAUUUGAUCAAGACAGUAAUAACAUUUCUGGUUGAUUUACUGUCAUGUUUCUAAUGCAAAGAAUUUCAUCCUUUACAGAUCUGAUCUAAAACAGAAAGAAGAAGAACUGAUAUCAGCCAAUGAAAGGCUGAACAAUGAGCUCCAGACAGUGAGAUCUGCACUCAAAAAUAAAG